ensembl:lncRNA
GAAGUUUCAGGGUAUACGUAAAGACAGCAGAAAAGAGGAGAGGCAGACAAGUGGGGGACAGAAAGAAAAACCAGGUGUAACUGUGGUAAGAAGCUCUCCCAGGGGAAAGCUGCUGACGUACUCCACAACUCUAAUAGUGUUUUUAUACUAUGGCCAUUCGCCUCCAGAACGGUCCUCUUCUACUUCAAUACCUCUGCCUGUUGGAUAGGCUUGACCUGAACAGUGGUCAGCAACAAAAAGGAAAUAUUUCUUGCACUGGACAAGAAGGGCAACAGAUAUAAUUUAUCUGGACUUAUGCAAGGCCUUUGACAGAGACCAACACCAGUUUGUUAUCUCUCUAUAUUGGAGAGCUGUGGAUUUGAAGGCUGGGCUACUUGAUGGACAAAGAAUUUGUUGGAUGAUUGCAGUCAGAAGGAUGUGGCCAAUGGCUCUGUGUCCAAGUGGAGGAAGUUUCAGACAGCCACACAGAAUUUUACAAUUGCACCACGCAGACAGACUCUUGUUCAUCACUGGCAAAAGUAAAUAGUUUAUGGUAGUGACUAUGCUGAAAAAUAGUGUUCUGUAGCUGAAAAUUUGCUCUGACAAAUAGUGUUAUUGUGAUCUUUCUAGCUACUGUAGUUUCCAUGGGAAUAAGUAGGAGGUAUUACUUUCAGAGCAGUCUCUGUAUUUAGGCUCUAAUUGAACAAAAAUAUGUGUACUAAUAUCUUUGCAUGGCAAUAUGCAUUAUCUAAGUAUUGCAAUCAGAAUAUUCUGUCAUACUUGCCAAUUUACUGGGAUCUGUUGUGUUUCUGAUGAAUACUGACAAAAACAAACUGCAGUUCCCUUAGAGACUGCUGAUAUAUUUGAACUUUUGUCUGCUCAAAAAAAAGGUAGAGUAAUAAAUUAUGUGAGUUCUGACUCGUUUAAACCCUGUGGCUAUGUCCCACAAGCAAUAUCUACAUUUUAAUAUAGAAAUGUGAAUAUUUGAGUUGUUACCAACAGCAGUGGGC